AAAAAAACUCAUUCCUCAAAAAAAAGAAACACUCCUCCCCAGAUGCGCCGCUGCACCCACUCCCAUCGAUACGCCGCCGUCCCCGUCUCCAUGCUCCACCGCCGCCCCCCGUCUCCAUGCUCCAUCGCCGCCCCCACCUCUCCCACCUGACGUUUGUGCUUCUAGAUCGAAGCCCAUGACGACGGCGCUCCCAGGUCGGUGACGCGACACUCCUGGAUCGUCCUCAUCAAGGAAGCGCGGCUUCCAGCCAACUAUGACCAAGAGAGGCCCCCGGAUCUGCGCUCCCGCGGCUGACGGCGGCCAUGACGAGGCUGCUCUAGAGCACCCCCUCCCCGGCGGCGAGAGAUUGGCCUCCACGUACAUGGAGUUGACCCCGGUUUUCAGGGAUGGUGCUGCUAGCGUUCAACACCAUGGACGGACGGAUGCUGGGCAGAACCCAGGCCAUGACAAUGCAGGCACAUAUCAAGGAUUCUCGACACCCUCAACUGAAGCUCCAACUCAAUUACUUCCCGUGCUGGACAUUGCUCCAACAUCGUCGUUCCGUCCAUGCUUCGAAUUGAUGGGUUGCCGUUCUGCCGACCUUGCCGGAAUCAAGUCUGCCCGUGCUCCAGCCAAGAUACGUCAUUUCGGGUGCUCGAGCAGUACUAAUUUAUAUUCAUGCUGCUAAUUUAACGAUUAUUUUGGUCGUGCCUAUCGAUUGGCCUGCGAGUGUCAAUUUGUUUUCCAGUGAACUUAAUCUUUCUUAUUUUCAUGAUUAGCAAAAUCAUUGCAGACCGCUUGUUUGUUGUCUGAACAAAAGACAUCUGUGAAAAUUCGAUAGAGCCUUGGACCGAGUUUACAUCUGUUAUCAUCUGUGUUCGAAAUUUGAUUUAGGUCUAUAGGAAAAGGCUAAGCUAAACCAUGUUACUACACAACAGCCAAAAGUUUGACUGAUAUAUAUCAGUAAUAUGGUACUAUCUUGACUGGUGAAUUCAGAACUGAUGCUUGCUACGUGCUACUAAUUUUCAUACUGAUAGACUUAACCAAAUAAUGUAUCAGUUGGGUAAAGUAAUCCAUUGCCCUUCUAGGAAAAUUUCAGCAAUUAGCCAGAAUCCAAUGCCACCCAUGGUUAGUAUUGUGGGUGUCCAUUAGUACUACCAACGUACUGUAGCCAGAUACAAGUAGUACAGACAGGUACUAAUCAGCGUCGCUCUGCAUCCUAAUUUCACAGUGAACUUGCCGCUGAUCAAUUACAGUUCUAUAACAAUGGUGAAAAUCUCACAUUUUCUCUUGGCAGAAAACAGUUUACAGAGCAUAGCCAAUUAAUGUUUUGUAUGAAUCAGAGCUUGAUAAUUAAUUCAUCUGAAGAUAAAUUGGUUGUAGUUUGACUGUCUGCAUCGUUGUUGCUUCCUUAUUUUAUAAAUCUUCAUCCUAGAAUAUGUACUAAGCACACACUAGGUUGAUUCGGCUAUUGUAGAACUCUACAUUUUAUUAUACAAAAAUAUUUCUGUUGUUUUUCAGCUUAGUGGAAAAGUUCGUUCGAAGCUUUGACUAGCAUCCAACCAGAGGAAUACCAUGAAAGCUUAGUGGAAAAGUUCGUUCGAAGCUUUGACUAGCAUCCAACCAGAGGAAUAACAUGAAAGGUUAGCAGUCUUAUAAGUUUAGAAGUGUGGCAUGGGUAGGGAUUUUGUUUUUCUGGUAACACAGUACUUGGUCAGGUUUUAGAGUGUGGUCCCAGGUCUCAUAGUAUUGAAAGCUUUGCUAUAUUUUGGAGAAAUUAUAUACUCCCUCCGUUCCUAAAUAUAAGUCUUUGUAGAAAUUCCACUAUACACCACAUACGGAUGUAUAUAGACAUACUUUAUAGUAUACAUUCACUCAUUUUGCUCCGUAUGUAGUCCAUAGUGCACUCUCUACAAAGAUUUAUAUUUAGGAACGGAGGGAGUAGCUGUUAUCUUGGUAAAACCUCCUAUGACCCUGUUUGGCAGCUCUCCGCUCGUCAGCUCCGCUCCUCGAGCAGCCGGAGCAUCAUCGAACAAGUCAACUCUGCGUUUACUUCGUCCCAGAGCGGAGCGGCCUGCAGGCCAUUUUCUUGGAGUCGCCAAAGUGUCGCUCCUUGCGUUCCUGUAUUUCACGAAGCUGGUGGAUUGCCGAAUAAAUAAUGUUAUUGCUACUUUGUUAAGUGUUUAAGCAUGCCUACUAUGAUCCUGCGCUUCUUACUCUUUGUGCAUGGCUUGAUGUCAAAACACCAAACUUAACAUUUGCUUGAUUAAUUCAGUCCAGCCUUUGUUUUGUUUUUGAACUAACUAUUACUCCCUCCGUUCCGAAUUACUUGUCUUAGAUUUGUCUAGAUACGGAGGUAUCUAGCACUAAAAUGAGUCUAGAUACAUCCGUAUCUAGACAAAUCCAAGACAAGUAAUUCGGAACGGAGGGAGUACAUGGUUUUCUUGUUAUGCUUGGAUAAUUAGAGUAUUCUAAAUUGAAAUUAUCCUGUCUUUUGUAUGUAAUUCACUUGCAUGGAAGGAUUAAUUCAACGCAUGUAUUCACGACAAAGUAUAUCCCAUACAGCAGAUCACUUCUCACAACAAGAUUACACCAAAAUGAUUUAGCAUUAUUGGGUUUUACUAAACUGAAACAAUGUAGCAUUGUAUCAAUAUUGUUCUGCUUUCCUAAUUUAAUAGAAUAUUUAACUGAGAAUGAUAAGUAUGCAGUGAUUUAUGUCCUUCAGCGUGCGUAAUGUUGUUAGCUACUACUUUACAUAAAUAACCACUGUACUCUAUUCUAUGUGAAAUCGACAUGUUUGCAUGUUGUUAACCAUCUGGCAAAGAGGCUCACUGGAUGUUUCUUAUUAUAUUCUAUCUGUAAUAGACAUGUACGCAUGUCUUUAACUAUCUGGCAAAGAGGCUCAUUGGAUGUUCCAAAAUUUACCUUUAUAGAACAUCAUUUGUUUUCUUCUGAAUCGAGAGGUUCAAAGCCAAUAUGUUGCCAGAUCAUUCACUGUGUGUUUGUGGGCAAACUUUUACUUUCGAAGGAGGCGCGGACUAUUGCCACUCCUUCCCUUCGCUUGCAAUAAAUUCUUGAAGGAACCAUGCAACCUAGCUGUGUCAUCUGUGUGUUUUAAAUUAGUUUCAUCUCUGGCUGGAUUGUGCUGAACUCCGCAUGUAAAACAUUUUAUGUCAUAUAUUUUGCACAGAGCUCACAUACACUGUUAAAAAAACAUUAUUUUAAUGUAUCUAAAUUUGUAUUCAUUUGUGCAGGAGAAUGAUUUCUCAAUGUCUGCCUGCACACAACCAGGUUCACUAGAUGAGUGUGUGCAGGACACUACAAUCUGAAGAAUUAGCUCCUACAAAAUAGAUCCUCCACGUGGUUGUUGUGAAUGUUUGCGGCACAAUUCAAAAUUCAUAAUGCUCCAAAGUUAUUGUGGUGAUCUGAUUUAAAGCUUUUAAAUAAUGGAUUGUACAAAUAAGCAUUUGAAUUUGUACUCAAGGUCGUGAUUCAUUUUGCUUUUUUGAGUAUUUCACAAGCCUAAGAUUGACGGAUGAGAUUUAAAAGAGAUUGACGGCUGAGAUUUUUGUGUUAUAUAGUAGGAUCUUUUAGCUGUCCAUCCGUCACAGGCUCACAGCCC
rnacentral:rRNA from 1 species